GACGAACGCUGGCGGCGUGCUUAACACAUGCAAGUCGAACGGAAAGGCCCUGCUUUUGUGGGGUGCUCGAGUGGCGAACGGGUGAGUAACACGUGAGUAACCUGCCCUUGACUUCGGGAUAACUUCAGGAAACUGGGGCUAAUACCGGAUAGGAGCUCCUGCUGCAUGGUGGGGGUUGGAAAGUUUCGGCGGUUGGGGAUGGACUCGCGGCUUAUCAGCUUGUUGGUGGGGUAGUGGCUUACCAAGGCUUUGACGGGUAGCCGGCCUGAGAGGGUGACCGGCCACAUUGGGACUGAGAGACGGCCCAGACUCGUACGGGAGGCAGCAGUGGGGAAUAUUGCACAAUGGGCGGAAGCCUGAUGCAGCAACGCCGCGUGCGGGAUGACGGCCUUCGGGUUGUAAACCGCUUUCGCCUGUGACGAAGCGUGAGUGACGGUAAUGGGUAAAGAAGCACCGGCUAACUACGUG
rnacentral:rRNA from 1 species